AUAGAUGAUGAGGUAGAUAGGAUGGAAGUGGAAGUGCCGUGAGGCAUGGAGCGGACCAUUACUAAUCGGUCGAGGACUUAACCAAG
rnacentral:rRNA from 1 species